UCAAGUAACAAUGAACUGGAACGAUCUGGAAAGUUCGUCCAUAGAGGGUGAAAGGCCCGUACAGGUAAGUUCGUUAUGCGAUAGCAGUAUCCUGAGUAGGGCGGGACACGAGGAAUCCUGUCUGAAUCCGGGUCGACCACGAUCCAACCCUAAAUACUAAUACCAGAUCGAUAGUGCACAAGUACCGUGAGGGAAAGGUGAAAAGAACUGAGGUGAUCAGAGUGAAAUAGAACCUGAAACCAUUUGCUUACAAUCAUUCAGAGCACUAUGUAGCAAUACAGUGUGAUGGACUGCCUUUUGCAUAAUGAGCCUGCGAGUUGUGGUGUCUGGCAAGGUUAAGCAAACGCGAAGCCGUAGCGAAAGCGAGUCUGAAUAGGGCGCUUAGUCAGAUGCUGCAGACCCGAAACGAAGUGAUCUAUCCAUGAGCAAGUUGAAGCUAGUGUAAGAACUAGUGGAGGACUGAACCCAUAGGCGUUGAAAAGCCCCGGGAUGACUUGUGGAUAGGGGUGAAAGGCCAAUCAAACUUCGUGAUAGCUGGUUCUCUCCGAAAUAUAUUUAGGUAUAGCGUUGUGUCGUAAUAUAAGGGGGUAGAGCACUGAAUGGGCUAGGGCAUACACCAAUGUACCAAACCCUAUCAAACUCCGAAUACCUUAUAUGUAAUCACAGCAGUCAGGCGGCGAGUGAUAAAAUCCGUCGUCAAGAGGGAAACAACCCAGACUACCAGCUAAGGUCCCUAAGUCUUACUUAAGUGGAAAACGAUGUGAAGUUACUUAAACAACCAGGAGGUUGGCUUAGAAGCAGCCAUCAUUUAAAGAAAGCGUAAUAGCUCACUGGUCUAGUGAUUUUGCGCGGAAAAUAUAACGGGGCUAAAGUAAGUACCGAAGCUGUAGACUUAGUUUACUAAGUGGUAGGAGAGCGUUCUAUUUGCGUCGAAGGUAUACCGGUAAGGAGUGCUGGAGCGAAUAGAAGUGAGCAUGCAGGCAUGAGUAGCGAUAAUUAAUGUGAGAAUCAUUAACGCCGUAAACCCAAGGUUUCCUACGCGAUGCUCGUCAUCGUAGGGUUAGUCGGGUCCUAAGUCGAGUCCGAAAGGGGUAGACGAUGGCAAAUUGGUUAAUAUUCCAAUACCAACAUUAGUGUGCGAUGGAAGGACGCUUAGGGCUAAGGGGGCUAGCGGAUGGAAGUGCUAGUCUAAGGUCGUAGGAGGUUAUACAGGCAAAUCCGUAUAACAAUACUCCGAGAACUGAAAGGCUUUUUGAAGUCUUCGGAUGGAUAGAAGAACCCCUGAUGCCGUCGAGCCAAGAAAAGUUUCUAAGUUUAGCUAAUGUUGCCCGUACCGUAAACCGACACAGGUGGGUGGGAUGAGUAUUCUAAGGCGCGUGGAAGAACUCUCUUUAAGGAACUCUGCAAAAUAGCACCGUAUCUUCGGUAUAAGGUGUGGUUAGCUUUGUAUUAGGAUUUACUCCGAAAGCAAGGAAACUUACAACAAAGAGUCCCUCCCGACUGUUUACCAAAAACACAGCACUCUGCUAACUCGUAAGAGGAUGUAUAGGGUGUGACGCCUGCCCGGUGCUCGAAGGUUAAUUGAUGGGGUUAGCAUUAGCGAAGCUCUUGAUCGAAGCCCGAGUAAACGGCGGCCGUAACUAUAACGGUCCUAAGGUAGCGAAAUUCCUUGUCGGUUAAAUACCGACCUGCAUGAAUGGCGUAACGAGAUGGGAGCUGUCUCAAAGAGGGAUCCAGUGAAAUUGUAGUGGAGGUGAAAAUUCCUCCUACCCGCGGCAAGACGGAAAGACCCCGUGGACCUUUACUACAGCUUGACACUGCUACUUGGAUAAGAAUGUGCAGGAUAGGUGGGAGGCUUUGAGUAUAUGACGCCAGUUGUAUAUGAGCCAUUGUUGAGAUACCACUCUUUCUUAUUUGGGUAGCUAACCAGCUUGAGUUAUCCUCAAGUGGGACAAUGUCUGGUGGGUAGUUUGACUGGGGCGGUCGCCUCCCAAAUAAUAACGGAGGCUUACAAAGGUUGGCUCAGAACGGUUGGAAAUCGUUCGUAGAGUAUAAAGGUAUAAGCCAGCUUAACUGCAAGACAUACAAGUCAAGCAGAGACGAAAGUCGGUCUUAGUGAUCCGGUGGUUCUGUGUGGAAGGGCCAUCGCUCAAAGGAUAAAAGGUACUCCGGGGAUA
rnacentral:rRNA from 1 species